rnacentral:rRNA from 1 species
UACGUAGGGUCCGAGCGUUGUCCGGAAUUAUUGGGCGUAAAGAGCUCGUAGGCGGUUUGUCGCGUCUGCUGUGAAAUCCCGAGGCUCAACCUCGGGCCUGCAGUGGGUACGGGCAGACUGGAGUGCGGUAGGGGAGAAUGGAAUUCCUGGUGUAGCGGUGGAAUGCGCAGAUAUCAGGAGGAACACCGAUGGCGAAGGCAGUCCUCUGGGCCGUAACUGACGCUGAGGAGCGAAAGCGUGGGGAGCGAACAGG